AUGGUGGAUGUAAAUGUAAGUUAAUUUUUCCGAUCUUGACAAUUGUGUAUUCAAAUAAAUGGUCGGUUUGGGCAAUCACAGGAAAAGUUCCAUGGCCCCCGUUUCAUUCAAUACCUUAUCCUCCAUCAAUCAUCAAUCAUCUUCGCCACCGUUAGCUUUCAGAAGUAUCUUCUGAUUAGCCAAUUAUAGCAGUGGAUCUCCCAGAUUCCUUUUAUCUAUACCAAUUGAAGUCGGGUUCUUUUGAUGGGAAAAUCAGGAACCUAGGGAGAAUGAGAAGCUAUAUUGCCUUAUACCAGCACCUAAAGAAUAUGUUACGCCUCUCUCUUGGCCCAAGAGUAUAGAUUAUGUGCCUUACGCUAAUGCCCCGAACAAGGCUAUUCAGGGAUGGAUUUAGUAUGAGAGGGACGUUUUUAGAUUCCUGAGUGGUGGAACUCAUUAAGGUGGUAGGACUGCUCUGGACACUGGUUGUGAGAUAAUGUCUUAUGUUUGCUUCUGUUUAUAUUCUUCGAGUCUCAUAUUCUUCAUUAGUGACGUUGUGGGAUUAUAUGUUUGUAGUUGCUUUAUUUCAGUUUUACCACACCUGAAUUACCUGCUGAGAAGAUGUAUACGAAAAACAAGAGAGGGUUAACAUACAUGGUUCAUGCGAAGCA